GAUCAUGGCUCAGGAUGAACGCUAGCUACAGGCUUAACACAUGGCAAGUCGAGGGGCAUCAGGAAGAAGCUUGCUUCUUUGCUGGCGACCGGCGCACGGGUGAGUAACACGUAUCCAACCUGCCCUUUAUCGGGGAUAGCCUUUCGAAAGAAAGAUUAAUACCCGAUAGUAUAAUGAUUCCGCAUGGUUUCAUUAUUAAAGGAUUCCGGUAAAGGAUGGGGAUGCGUUCCAUUAGGUUGUUGGUGAGGUAACGGCUCACCAAGCCUUCGAUGGAUAGGGGUUCUGAGAGGAAGGUCCCCCACAUUGGAACUGAGACACGGUCCAAACUCCUACGGGAGGCAGCAGUGAGGAAUAUUGGUCAAUGGGCGCUAGCCUAAACCAGCCAAGUAGCGUGAAGGAUGAAGGCUCUAUGGGUCGUAAACUUCUUUUAUAUAAGAAUAAAGUGCAGUAUGUAUACUGUUUUGUAUGUAUUAUAUGAAUAAGGAUCGGCUAACUCCGUG
rnacentral:rRNA from 1 species